rnacentral:rRNA from 1 species
UACGUAGGUGGCAAGCGUUGUCCGGAUUUAUUGGGUUUGAAGGGUGCGUAGGCGGCUUUGUAAGUCAGUGGUGAAAUAUGGCAGCUCAACUGUCAAGGUGCCAUUGAUACUGCGGAGCUUGAGUACAGAUGAGGUAGGCGGAAUUGACGGUGUAGCGGUGAAAUGCUUAGAUAUCGUCAAGAACACCUAUAGCGAAGGCAGCUUACUAGGCUGUAACUGACGCUGAGGCACGAAAGUGUGGGGAUCAAACAGG